rnacentral:rRNA from 1 species
CAGUCGCCACGGGAAUACAGAGGGUGCAAGCGUUAAUCGGAAUUACUGGGCGUAAAGCGCGCGUAGGUGGCUCGCCAAGUUGGAUGUGAAAUCCCCGGGCUCAACCUGGGAACUGCAUCCAAAACUGGCGAGCUAGAGUAUGGUAGAGGGUGGUGGAAUUUCCUGUGUAGCGGUGAAAUGCGUAGAUAUAGGAAGGAACAUCAGUGGCGAAGGCGACCACCUGGACUGAUACUGACACUGAGGUGCGAAAGCGUGGGGAGCAAACAGGAUUAGAUACCCCGGUAGUCCCUGUCUCUUAUAU